rnacentral:rRNA from 1 species
GACGAACGCUGGCGGCGUGCUUAACACAUGCAAGUCGAGCGGUAAGGCCUUUCGGGGUACACGAGCGGCGAACGGGUGAGUAACACGUGGGUGACCUGCCCUCCACUUCGGGAUAAGCCUGGGAAACUGGGUCUAAUACGGGAUGGGACCAUUCCAUGCAUGUGGGUGGUGGAAAGUCGGUGCUGUUGUGGUGCUGGCGGUGGGGGAUGGGCCCGCGGUCUAUCAGCUUGGUUGGUGGGGNGAUGGCUUACCAAGGCGACGACGGAUAGCCGGCCUGAGAGGGUGAUCGGCCACACUGGGACCGAGACACGG